GACGAACGCUGGCGGCGUGCUUAACACAUGCCAGUCGAACGGAAAGGCCCUGCUUUUGUGGGGUGCUCGAGUGGCGAACGGGUGAGUAACACGUGGGUAACCUGCCCUUGACUUUGGGAUAACUUCAGGAAACUGGGGCUAAUACCGGAUAGGAGCUCCUGCUGCAUGGUGGGGGUUGGAAAGUUUCGGCGGUUGGGGAUGGACUCGCGGCUUAUCAGCUUGUUGGUGGGGUAGUGGCUUACCAAGGCUUUGACGGGUAGCCGGCCUGAGAGGGUGACCGGCCACAUUGGGACUGAGAUACGGCCCAGACUCCUACGGGAGGCAGCAGUGGGGAAUAUUGCACAAUGGGCGGAAGCCUGAUGCAGCAACGCCGCGUGCGGGAUGACGGCCUUCGGGUUGUAAACCGCUUUCGCCUGUGACGAAGCGUGAGUGACAGUAAUGGGUAAAGAAGCACCGGCUAACUACGUG
rnacentral:rRNA from 1 species